rnacentral:rRNA from 1 species
AUGCGUUUUGUGCGGUGCAUCCAGGAGUCUGAGGUGAAGGAGGCUUUAAAAAGGAUGAAAGGAGGCAAGGCGAUGGGCCCUGAUUGUAUCCCCAUUGAGGUGUGGGAAGGUCUCGGGGACAUAGCGAUAGUAUGGCUAACCAAGCUUUUCAACCUCAUUUUUCGGGCAAACAAGAUGCCAGAAGAAUGGAGACGGAGUAUAUUAGUACCAAUCUUCAAGAACAAGGGGGAUGUUCAGAGUUGUACUAAUUACCGUGGAAUUAAGCUGAUGAGCCAUACAAUGAAGCUAUGGGAGAGAGUCAUUGAGCACCGCUUAAGAAGAAUGACAAGCGUGACCAAAAAUCAGUUUGGUUUCAUGCCUGGGAGGUCGACCAUGGAAGCCAUUUUCUUGGUACGACAACUUAUGGAGAGAUAUAGGGAGCAUAAGAAGGACUUGCAUAUGGUGUUCAUUGACUUGGAGAAGGCCUAUGAUAAGAUACCGCGGAAUGUCAUGUGGUGGGCCUUGGAGAAACACAAAGUCCCAGCAAAGUACAUUACCCUCAUCAAGGACAUGUACAAUAAUGUUGUGACAAGUGUUCGAACAAGUGAUGUCGACACCGAUGACUUCCCGAUUAAGGUAGGACUGCAUCAGGGGUCAGCUUUGAGCCCUUAUCUUUUUGCAUUGGUGAUGGAUGAGGUCACAAGGGGUAUACAAGGAGAUAUCCCAUGGUGUAUGCUCUUUGCGGAUGAUGUGGUGCUAGUUGAAGAUAGUCGGACGGGGGUAAAUAGGAAGUUAGAGUUAUGGAGACAAACCUUGGAAUCGAAAGGGUUUAGGCUUAGUAGAACUAAAACCGAGUACAUGAUGUGCGGUUUCAGUACUACUAGCUGUGAGGAGGAGGAGGUUAGCCUUGAUGGCCAGGUGGUACCUCGGAAGGACACCUUUCGGUAUUUGGGGUCAAUGUUGCAGGAGGAUGGGGGUAUUGAUGAAGAUGUGAACCAUCAAAUCAAAGCCGGAUGGAUGAAGUGGCGCCAAGCUUCUGGCAUUCUCUGUGACAAGAGAGUGCCACAAAAGCUAAAAGGCAAGUUCUAA